GGUUAAGCGACUAAGCGUACACGGUGGAUGCCCUGGCAGUCAGAGGCGAUGAAGGACGUGCUAAUCUGCGAUAAGCGUCGGUAAGGUGAUAUGAACCGUUAUAACCGGCGAUUUCCGAAUGGGGAAACCCAGUGUGUUUCGACACACUAUCAUUAACUGAAUCCAUAGGUUAAUGAGGCGAACCGGGGGAACUGAAACAUCUAAGUACCCCGAGGAAAAGAAAUCAACCGAGAUUCCCCCAGUAGCGGCGAGCGAACGGGGAGGAGCCCAGAGCCUGAAUCAGUGUGUGUGUUAGUGGAAGCGUCUGGAAAGGCGCGCGAUACAGGGUGACAGCCCCGUACACAAAAAUGCACAUACUGUGAGCUCGAUGAGUAGGGCGGGACACGUGGUAUCCUGUCUGAAUAUGGGGGGACCAUCCUCCAAGGCUAAAUACUCCUGACUGACCGAUAGUGAACCAGUACCGUGAGGGAAAGGCGAAAAGAACCCCGGCGAGGGGAGUGAAAAAGAACCUGAAACCGUGUACGUACAAGCAGUGGGAGCCUCUUUUAUGGGGUGACUGCGUACCUUUUGUAUAAUGGGUCAGCGACUUAUAUUCUGUAGCAAGGUUAACCGAAUAGGGGAGCCGAAGGGAAACCGAGUCUUAACUGGGCGUUAAGUUGCAGGGUAUAGACCCGAAACCCGGUGAUCUAGCCAUGGGCAGGUUGAAGGUUGGGUAACACUAACUGGAGGACCGAACCGACUAAUGUUGAAAAAUUAGCGGAUGACUUGUGGCUGGGGGUGAAAGGCCAAUCAAACCGGGAGAUAGCUGGUUCUCCCCGAAAGCUAUUUAGGUAGCGCCUCGUGAAUUCAUCUCCGGGGGUAGAGCACUGUUUCGGCAAGGGGGUCAUCCCGACUUACCAACCCGAUGCAAACUGCGAAUACCGGAGAAUGUUAUCACGGGAGACACACGGCGGGUGCUAACGUCCGUCGUGAAGAGGGAAACAACCCAGACCGCCAGCUAAGGUCCCAAAGUCAUGGUUAAGUGGGAAACGAUGUGGGAAGGCCCAGACAGCCAGGAUGUUGGCUUAGAAGCAGCCAUCAUUUAAAGAAAGCGUAAUAGCUCACUGGUCGAGUCGGCCUGCGCGGAAGAUGUAACGGGGCUAAACCAUGCACCGAAGCUGCGGCAGCGACACUAUGUGUUGUUGGGUAGGGGAGCGUUCUGUAAGCCUGUGAAGGUGUGCUGUGAGGCAUGCUGGAGGUAUCAGAAGUGCGAAUGCUGACAUAAGUAACGAUAAAGCGGGUGAAAAGCCCGCUCGCCGGAAGACCAAGGGUUCCUGUCCAACGUUAAUCGGGGCAGGGUGAGUCGACCCCUAAGGCGAGGCCGAAAGGCGUAGUCGAUGGGAAACAGGUUAAUAUUCCUGUACUUGGUGUUACUGCGAAGGGGGGACGGAGAAGGCUAUGUUGGCCGGGCGACGGUUGUCCCGGUUUAAGCGUGUAGGCUGGUUUUCCAGGCAAAUCCGGAAAAUCAAGGCUGAGGCGUGAUGACGAGGCACUACGGUGCUGAAGCAACAAAUGCCCUGCUUCCAGGAAAAGCCUCUAAGCAUCAGGUAACAUCAAAUCGUACCCCAAACCGACACAGGUGGUCAGGUAGAGAAUACCAAGGCGCUUGAGAGAACUCGGGUGAAGGAACUAGGCAAAAUGGUGCCGUAACUUCGGGAGAAGGCACGCUGAUAUGUAGGUGAAGCGACUUGCUCGUGGAGCUGAAAUCAGUCGAAGAUACCAGCUGGCUGCAACUGUUUAUUAAAAACACAGCACUGUGCAAACACGAAAGUGGACGUAUACGGUGUGACGCCUGCCCGGUGCCGGAAGGUUAAUUGAUGGGGUUAGCGGUAACGCGAAGCUCUUGAUCGAAGCCCCGGUAAACGGCGGCCGUAACUAUAACGGUCCUAAGGUAGCGAAAUUCCUUGUCGGGUAAGUUCCGACCUGCACGAAUGGCGUAAUGAUGGCCAGGCUGUCUCCACCCGAGACUCAGUGAAAUUGAACUCGCUGUGAAGAUGCAGUGUACCCGCGGCAAGACGGAAAGACCCCGUGAACCUUUACUAUAGCUUGACACUGAACAUUGAGCCUUGAUGUGUAGGAUAGGUGGGAGGCUUUGAAGUGUGGACGCCAGUCUGCAUGGAGCCGGCCUUGAAAUACCACCCUUUAAUGUUUGAUGUUCUAACGUUGGCCCCUGAUCGGGGUUGCGGACAGUGUCUGGUGGGUAGUUUGACUGGGGCGGUCUCCUCCUAAAGAGUAACGGAGGAGCACGAAGGUUGGCUAAUCCUGGUCGGACAUCAGGAGGUUAGUGCAAUGGCAUAAGCCAGCUUGACUGCGAGCGUGACGGCGCGAGCAGGUGCGAAAGCAGGUCAUAGUGAUCCGGUGGUUCUGAAUGGAAGGGCCAUCGCUCAACGGAUAAAAGGUACUCCGGGGAUAACAGGCUGAUACCGCCCAAGAGUUCAUAUCGACGGCGGUGUUUGGCACCUCGAUGUCGGCUCAUCACAUCCUGGGGCUGAAGUAGGUCCCAAGGGUAUGGCUGUUCGCCAUUUAAAGUGGUACGCGAGCUGGGUUUAGAACGUCGUGAGACAGUUCGGUCCCUAUCUGCCGUGGGCGCUGGAGAACUGAGGGGGGCUGCUCCUAGUACGAGAGGACCGGAGUGGACGCAUCACUGGUGUUCGGGUUGUCAUGCCAAUGGCACUGCCCGGUAGCUAAAUGCGGAAGAGAUAAGUGCUGAAAGCAUCUAAGCACGAAACUUGCCCCGAGAUGAGUUCUCCCUGAGACUUUAAGUCUCCUGAAGGAACGUUGAAGACGACGACGUUGAUAGGCCGGGUGUGUAAGCGCAGCGAUGCGUUGAGCUAACCGGUACUAAUGAACCGUGAGGCUUAACCUU
rnacentral:rRNA from 1 species